ACGGCGAGUGAAGCGGGAAGAGCUCAAAUUUGAAAUCUGGUGGCCUCAGGUCAUCCGAGUUGUAAUCUAUAGAAGUGUUUUCCGUGCUGGCUCAUGUACAAGUCCCUUGGAACAGGGCGUCAUAGAGGGUGAGAAUCCCGUCCUUGACAUGAACUACCAGUGCUCUGUGAUACAUUUUCAACGAGUCGAGUUGUUUGGGAAUGCAGCUCAAAAUGGGUGGUAAAUUCCAUCUAAAGCUAAAUAUUGGCGAGAGACCGAUAGCGAACAAGUACCGUGAGGGAAAGAUGAAAAGCACUUUGGAAAGAGAGUUAAACAGUAUGUGAAAUUGUUGAAAGGGAAACGAUUGAAGUCAGUCGUGCUCUUUGGAUUCAGCCGGUUCUGCCGGUGUACUUCCUUUGAGUGGGGUCAACAUCAGUUUUGAUCGCUGGAUAAAGGCGGGAGGAAUGUAGUACCCCCGGGUAAACUUAUAGCCUCUUGUCACAUACAGUGGUUGGGACUGAGGAACGCAGCAUGCCUUUAAGGCCGGGAUUCGUCCACGUACAUGCUUAGGAUGUUGACAUAAUGGCUUUAAACGACCCGUCUUGAAACACGGACC
rnacentral:rRNA from 1 species